rnacentral:rRNA from 1 species
AACGAACGCUGGCGGCAUGCCUAACACAUGCAAGUCGAACGGGAUCCUAGCUUGCUAGGUGAGAGUGGCGGACGGGUGAGUAACACGUGGGAAUCUGCCUUUUGGUUCGGGAUAACCGCGGGAAACUGCGGCUAUACCGAAUGCCCUCGAGAGAGGAAAGAUUUAUCGCCAGAAGAGGAGCCCGCGUCCGAUUAGGUAGUUGGUGGGGUAAAGGCCUACAAGCCGACGAUCGGUAGCUGGUCUGAGAGGAUGAUCAGCCACACUGGGACUGAGAUACGGCCCAGACUCCUACGGGAGGCAGCAGUGGGGAAUAUUGGACAAGUGGGGCAACCCUGAUCCAGCAAUGCCGCGUGAGUGAUGAA